rnacentral:lncRNA from 1 species
GGGGGUGUUAAUACUAGGGUCUUUUACAUAAGUAUACAACAAAUAGAAAGUAAUUACAAGAAUAGUGCAUGAACCAAAUAAUUAUAUUAACAGUGAAAAACUGUAUAAUAAUAUCAACAAUAGUGCAAUACAUCCAACAAAAAAAGAAAAUCCUUAAUUCAAGGAGAAAAUUACUCCACUUACUUUGACAGUUACCAACUAACUCAAAUAUUCAAAAAUCAUGACGCCAACAAACAAAUCUGAAGAUCAUUUCAUCCUAAUUUCUCUGCCAAAUGGAGACGCUAUCUGUAUAUCUUCCUUUUCAAUGGCGGAGACGAACAAAGCAGUCAGAGUAAGGAGGACAUUGAAGACACUGAAUAUAAUGUAAAAGAUGGUGGCCAAAGAAAUGAAUAUGACAAUAUACACAUUGAUGAGGAAGAUUCUGAAUUGCAACAUGACAUUUUUUUCGCCCUCAACCGAUUCGCCAUUAUCAUUUUCUCUCUCUUCCUCCUCCUCUUGAACCUCCUCUGUUUCGACCUUAUUUUUCUACUACAAUCAUGUCCACGUUUAUACCAAGAUAACCAAUAAAAAAUAGAACACUGCAUAGGAAAGAGAUAGAUAAGAGAGUGAUGUGUAAUGAAAUAUUGAUAACCAAAUCUUUGUACCAAGGUAACCAAACAUUUAUACCAAUGUAACCAAAUCUACCUCCACACCUGCAGUAUGAAUUUGUUACUUUGAUCUAAAAGUUUGGCAACCAAUUUUAUGAAGGUAAAUAAAAAACAGAACACUGCAUAGGAAAGAGAGAGAUAAAAGAGUGUGUAAUGUAAUAUUGAUAACCAAACAUUCGUACCAAGGUAACCAAACAUUCAUACCAAGGUAACCAAACAUGUACCAUGGUAACCAAACAUUUAUACCAAGGUAACCAACCCUUUAUAUCAAGGUAACCAAAUCUACCUCAACACUUAGAGUAUGAAUUUGUUACCUUGGUCUAAAAGUUUCACUACAAAAAAACAGGUCAUAGGCGACGGCCUCAUUCGCGACGGUAAUACAGCCGUCGCUAAUACUAUCAUUCUCGAUGGUGUAGCCGUCACCAAUGAGGCCCGUCGCAAAUGACCCUCCCCGGGUAUAAAUUUGGUGGGAAUUUUUCGCGGGCGUGGGAAAAGGGUAUAGGCGACGGCGUAUGCCGUCGGUAUUGAGUGCCGUCGAGAAUGAGCUUAUAUUUAAUUACAGUACCGUAAUUUUUUUUUCAUUUCUACUAUUUUCCCCCUUCUUCGUCGCGUCAUUUUCUUCUCUCUUGUCGUCGCCCACUGACCGUCGCCGUCCUCUCUUGUCGUCGGCGUCCUCUCAUGCCGUCGCCCUCCUCUCUUGCCGUCGCCGUCCUCUCUCCCCCUGUUGUCACUCUCGAGUACUGCAAGUAAGUAUUCCCAAUUCCCCCAAAUAUAACCUAAAUCCCUUCUUCUACAAUUUCACUAUAUUUUUCCCAAAUAUCAAUUGCAGUGUAUUACUAUUUCAAAUGUUUGCAAGUUUACAUGGAAAUUUUAAUGUGUACAGAUAUCCAACUAUAUUGCAGUGUACUAUAUAUUGCAGUGUAUAAAUUGCUUAAACUUCAUUGAUAGUAAUCUGUUGAGCUUAGAGAUAGUGUAUAAAUGUAUAUUUAUUGCAGUGUAUAAAUUGUUGUUGUGGGGUGGGGUGGGGUGGGGUGGGUUUUAAAAAAGUUCAAAUUGGAAAUAUAUGGUUGUGUAAAAGGAAACACUUGAUUACUAAAGAUUACAAAUAUAAUAAUUAGUGUACUGGUGUAUCAAUGAGAGUACUGUCAAAAUUUAUAGCUAAUUGUAUUGGUUUGAACAAUGACCCUAAUUGUCAAUUUUAUUUUUAUUUUCAUAGACUAUUAAGAACACAUACAUUUCAAGGAAGGUUGGGAAGGAAAGGCAAGUAUUGAACCCUAACUAUAAAAUAUUACUAAUCAUAGAUGUGCAAUCUUUGUAACAUUUUUUCUUUCCAUUUUAGGUUUGUGUGACUACUUUGUUCUUGCUUUUGUUAAUGUGACUUGUGAGAAUCAUGCGAGUUAAUGACUGAACUGUGCUUAUUAUUAUUUUUAAUAAAUUGGUCAAUAUCCUAAUUUUACCAACAAAAAAGAGUUUCAUAUGCCUCUUUUUCAUAAUUUUUUAUUGUAUUAAUAGUUUGUGACCUGAUAAAAAGCUAGUAUUCUUUCUGUUAUACAAAAAUAAUCCUUACUUUCACAUGUGCAUAUUUUCAUAUAGUUUAGGAAGCUUAGAAACCCGUUUGAGAUUCACUUAGUAGGAGUGAAUCUCAAAUAGUCCCCGUUUUGGGACUGUUCUUGUAUGUUUCGAUCUCACUUAGGUCGGUGUUAACGACUUGAGCACGUCUUUAUAUUUUUUGAAUUUUCGGUCAGUAUAUAUCUCUUGAUGUUCUUCGGGUGCAUAUUUAGACUACGAUGUGUUAGUCUAUUUCGUGUACUUGAAGACCAUGGGGAGGUGCUGCCGAAAAUUCUGAAAAAUGUAAAGAUGUGUUCAAGUUGUUGGCAUCAGUGAGGCGACACAUCCGGGAAUGGGAUAGAAGCCUGACCCGUUAGAGUGGGAGAUGAAGUUAGGAAACUCAUAAGCUUGCAUAUACAUUAACUUGGAGACUUGAUUGUGUUUGUCUAACUUUCCAUAUAUAUAGCAGACAGUUGUCCGAGAUGUCUGUUGAUCGAAGUUGGAUGGAACGUAGGGUAGCCACUGAUAGGAGUGGGCUUAGCUCUGAGUAUCGUAGUGGGGUUGAACAGUUUCUCAACUUCGCGUUUGAGCAAGUCAGCGGCGAUGAGAUCAGAUGUCCUUGUAAGAGGUGUGUGAAUGAAGUGUGGAAGGAAAGGAGUGAUGUCAUGUGCGACUUAUUUGCGUAUGGGUUCAAGCAGGGUUAUACGACAUGGAUCUAUCAUGGGGAAACCUGGUUGGAUGAACAUGAAUCAGAACCGGAAUCCAGAGGUGACGAAAACUUUGACUGUACUAACAUGAUAGUCGAAGCUGCUGGUUCGUACUUUCAGUGGAAUACAGACAGGGAUGGCAGUAGCGUCGAGCAAGAGCCGAAUGAUGGGGCUAAGGGUUUCUAUGAGUUAUUGCAUGAAGCAGCGACACCACUGUAUGACGGGCACGAAAAACACACCGUCUUAUCUGCUGUGACUAAGUUUUUACACUUCAAGAAUGAGCAUGACUGUAGCGAGAGAGGUUUUAAUGAACUGUUAAGCAUUGUGAAGGAGUGUUUACCUGCAGGCAAUAAGUUACCGGAGUCGUACUAUGAUGUGAAGAAAAUGGUCAAAAGGCUCAAUCUAGGGUAUGAGAAGAUUGAUGCUUGUGAGAAUGACUGUAUGUUGUAUUACGGUGAUGUCAAUAAAGAUAAGAGGUCGUGUGAUAUUUGUGGUACAAGUAGAUACUGUGAACAGCGCAAGAAAAAGGGAAAAGACGUGCCGAGAAAGAUCUUACGUUACUUUCCCAUUACCCCAAGGCUUCAGCGGUUGUUCAUGUCAAUACAUACCGCCGAGGAUAUGAGGUGGCACUCUACACGGGACAUAGUCGAAGGUCAACUGACGCACCCGGCAGAUGGGCUUGAGUGGAAAAAUUUUGAUAACAAGCACCCCUCGUUUGCUGAAGAGGUUCGCAAUGUUAGGCUUGGACUUGCUACGGAUGGGUUUAAUCCGUUUAACGGGCCUUACACAAAGCCCUACUUAACUUGGCCGGUGAUUAUUGUGGUGUAUAACCUCCCGCCUUCGAUGUGCAUGAAAGAUCCCUACAUGUUCAUGCCUUCACUGAUUCCAGGUGAUAAGAGUCCGAGUAAAGACAUCAAUGUAUACCUCAGGCCGUUAGUUGAUGAGUUGAAGAUGUUGUGGGAAAAAGGGGUUCAAACUUAUGAUGUAUCUCUUAAGCAGAACUUUGACAUGAGGGCAGCUUUACUGUGGACAAUAAAUGACUUCCCGGCGUUAGGAAUGAUCAGCGGAUGGUCGACUCAUGGGGGCUUAUCAUGUCCCGUGUGCAUGGGGUCAGUUAAAGCUGUGCGGCUCAAACAUGGGGGGAAAAUGAGUUUUUUCGCAACAUCCAGACAAUUUUUGCCGAUUGAACAUCGUUAUCGACGGAUGAGGAGACAAUUCAAUCGAAAAACAGAGAAACAUCAAGUACCUGGCCAUCUUUUUGGGUCAGCAGUGUUGAGUUGGAUUAGUCAUUUGAAGUUUCCACCUCCAGGGAAGAAUCACAGAUUAGAGCGAGCUUAUGGUUACGGUAAGGUUCACAACUGGACACACAGAUCCAUGUUCUUUGACCUGCCUUAUUGGGCUACACUCUGCAUCCGUCAUUGUUUAGAUCCGAUGCAUACUGAGAAGAACGUAUUUGAUAAUAUUUUUUAUACAGUCAUAGAUGCCAUUGGUAGAACAAAGGACAACAACAAGUCGAGGCUUGAUUUGGUCGAAAUGAACAUUAGGGAAGAUUUGUGGCUGUAUCAGGAGGGUAGUAAGACGGUAAUGCCUAAAGCUGAAUAUACUUUGACCAGGGAACAGUUGAUAUUGAUAUGUAAUUGGAUCAGUGGACUGAAGCUCCCAGAUGGAUAUUCUUCGAAUAUAGCAAGGUGUUGUAAAGUUGAAGAGCUGAAGUUUCGGGGUCUCAAAAGUCAUGAUUGUCACGUAUUCAUGCAGAAGCUGAUCCCUGUGGCAUUUAUCGACUUAUUACCGAAACGUGUGGUUGAAGCACUGACAGAGCUUUCUAAUUUCUUCAGAGAUCUAUGCUUGACGGAGCUUCAGGUCAAAGACAUAGAUAAAAUGGAGAUGCAGAUAGUGGAAAUAAUGUGCAAGUUAGAAAUGAUCUUCCCUCCAUCGUUUUUUGAUUCAAUGGAGCAUUUACCUAUUCACUUGCCAUACGAAGCUAAGUUUGGCGGUCCCGUACAAUAUAGAUGGAUGUAUCCAUUCGAGAGGUAAUGACAUUAAUGUUUUUAAUACGGUAAAAUGUUCAUUAUUUUUUUGUUAAUCUAUAUAUCACAUAGGUAUAUGCGACGUCUAAAGCAAAAGGUGAAGAAUAGAGCCCGUGUAGAGGGGUCGAUUGCUGAAAGUUAUGUUAUGGAGGAACUUGUUAAUUUCUGCUCGUUGUACUUUGAGCCGAAUGUUCAUACGAAGCACAAUCGCUUACGUCGGAAUCAGGCUGUUGCGCACGAGGAAAAUGGAGAAUUAACUGCCUUUAAUCAUCCUGUACGCCCAUUCGGUGGUAAAAAAAGGCGAUUCUUGACCGAUAGUGAGUAUACAGCUGCCACAUUGUAUGCACUUGUCAACAUGAAUGAAGUAGCGCCAUACAUUAAGUAAGUAGUCAUAAUAUAUAUGUCUGGUGUAAUUGUGUCAAGUUCCUUUCCAAACACAUUGAGUAUAUAACUGUGUUGCAGUCAAUAUGAUGUUGAAGUACGUGAAGCGAAUCCGAGUAUAUCGGACGAGGAUUUGCAAAAUUUGAGAAAUGGAGAAUUUGUGCAAUGGUUUAAGGAUCAUGUAAGUCUAACCUUUAAACGUUCAAUGAAUCUACCAUCAUAGACUUAUUCUUAUGGCAUAAUUAACUUUAGAAUAUGUUGUGUUAAUGUACAUUAGGUCCUCACAGAUGAGUUAGCUGACAAUCGACUAAAGCUUAUAGCCGACGGCCCCGAAAGAUCUGUAGAUACUUAUUCAUGUUGCAUUGUCAACGGUUACAGAUUUAACUGUUGCGAUAUUGGGGAAGUCGCUUCUGCUGAUUCUGGUGUUGUUGUGAAAGGUAGCUGCUACGAUAACAUUUGGGAUGACUGGUAUGGACGAUUGCUAGAAGUUGUCGUUCUCAAAUAUUGGGGUCAUAAAGAAUUAGUUUGCUUCAAUUGUCAUUGGUUUGAUGUUCAGAAUGGAGUUAAAGUAGAUAAAAAAUCAGGACGGGUGACUGUUAAUGUUAAGUCAAAACUAAGACUGAUGAGUGGUAUGGACGAGCCUUUUAUUUUAGCAAGUCAAGCGACACAGGUGUACUACGCGCGGAGUGUUAAGACUCCUGCAAGCCCAUGACAUGCUGUUAUAACCACUAAAGCCCGUGGUUUUCAAGGCACAACUCCUCGUCCAGCCGAUGAACCUUUACAAGUCGAGUCUACUAGUGUCACACCUGCUGAUGUGACAAUUAUUAGUGAGUCUAGUGAAGAAGAGGAUGAUGUUGUCGCUGUCGAAAGUGAAGAUGAUGUUGUUGAGGAGGUAAAUAUAAUUGAAGAAAUCGUUGAAGACGACGAAGAUGGUGAUGACAACGAUAGUGAAGAUCUACUGCUCGAAGAUGACGAUUCUGAUAUUGAUGGCUUUGACGAUAUAAAUGAUUAGGAGUAUGUACUAUUUGUGUCAGUUUAGUUGUAUUCAAAUGUAAUAGUUUGUAGUAGUGCAAUCAUUAUCUUCAACUUAUAUUAAUCUACUAAAUAAGAUGUUGAGUUGUUUUAGGAGUAUGUACUAUUUGUGUCAGUUUAGGUUAUUAUUUAUGCUGUAUCCUUUUAGGUUACUAUUUAUGUUGCAUUCUUUUAAUUGUAUCCUUUUAGGUUACUAUUUAUGCUGUAACUUUUUAGGUUACUAUUUAUGUUGCAUUCUUUUAAUUGUAUCUGUAUGUUAUCCUCUAUGUUAUCCCUCUUUUACUGUAUGUUGCAUUCUUUUAGUUGACAGUAUACAUACAUAUGGCGCGCACACCACACGGCGAUCGUGGCGGGCGUGCAGGUCGUGGGGGCCGUGGAGAUUCUACGCGUGAUGAUCCGGCGGGAUCGUCAGGUAUAAUUAUAUAUGUUAUUGGGAUACACCUUAUUAUUUUUUAUUUUUUAUUGUAUUGACAUUAUAUUCGUUUAUAUAAAUACAUAGGUGAUCAACGUAGGCCUCCGCGGGGACUAGCACGUGGCUUGCUAGGGAAUCCCCCCCAGGCGCCUCUUAUAUGUCGAGCGGUGUUGUGCAGUCAGGCGCACCAUCACGCGAGCGGAUCUAUCAGCUGGCUCAGGAAGUUGUCCACGGCUCUAUCGAUCCUACAGCUGCCGUUGACGAUCUCAUGGGUGUAGUACGGGAGGAGGCCAUCCGCGUGUGUGCAAUUGUUUUGGCCAACAUCUUCCCACCACAUAUUCAACAGGUAAAAACAAUUAAAUUCUGUAUUUCCUUAUUUAAUUUAUGUAAUUUGUAAUUGUAUUGCUUAGAUAAACAUAAGAUAAAAUCCUAACACCAUUAUACACACACAGAACCCCACGCAAACACACACACACAGCACCGCGUAGGUAUUAGACACGCGUUACAACUGACGGGACUCGAUUUUGGCAUACGGAGAUCGAGUUAUCACCCUGUUUGCGAAACUGAACAAGACUUAGCCAAAAAGCCGAAAAAGAGCUUGAAACCCGCAUCGUCCGUCCGAACGUCACGCAAACACACACACAGCACCGCAUAGGUAUUAGACACGCGUUACAACUGACGGUACUCGAUUCCGACAUACGGAGACCGAGUUAUCGCCCUGUUUGCGAAACUGAACAACAUUUUCAAAAAGCCGAAAAAGAGUCCAAAACCCAUAUCGUCCGUCCGAACGCCACGCAAACACACACACAGCACCGCGUAGGUAUUAGACACGCGUUACAACUGACGGGACUCGAUUCCGACAUACGGAGACCGAGUUAUCGCCUAGUUUGUAAAACUGAACAACACUUAGCCAAAAAGCCGAAAAAGAGCCCGAAACCCGCAUCGUCCGUCCGAACGCCACGCAAACACACACACAGCACCGCGUAGGUAUUAGGCACGCGUUACAACUGACGGGACUCGAUUCCGACAUACGGAGACCGAGUUAUCGCCUAGUUUGUAAAACUGAACAACACUUAGCCAAAAAGCCGAAAAAGAGCCCGAAACCCACAUCAUCCGUCCGAACGCCACACAAACACACACACAGCACCGCAUAGGUAUUAGACAUGCGUUACAACUGACGGUACUCGAUUCGGACAUACGGAGACCGAGUUAUAGCCCUGUUUGCGAAACUGAACAAGACUUAGCCAAAAAGUCGAAAAAGAGCCCGAAACCCGCAUCGUCCGUCCGAACGCCACGCAAACACACACACAGCACCGCAUAGGUAUUAGACACGCGUUACAACUGACGGUACUCGAUUCCGAUAUACGGAGACCGAGUUAUCGCCCUGUUUGCGAAACUGAACAAGACUUAGCCAAAAAGUCGAAAAAGAGCUCGAAACCCGCAUCGUUCGUCCGAACGGCACGCAAACACACACACAGCACCGCGUAGGUAUUAGGCACGCAUUACAACUGACGGGACUCGAUUCUGACAUACGGGGACCGAGUUAUCGCCCUGUUUGCGAAACUGAACAAGACUUAGGCAAAAAGCCGAAAAAGAGCCCGAAACCCGCAUCGUCCGUCCGAACACCACGCAAACACACACACAGCACCGCGUAGGUAUUAGACGCGCGUUACAACUGACAGUACUCGAUUCUGACAUACGGAGACCGAGUUAUCGCCCUGUUUGCGAAACUGAACAAGACUUAGGCAAAAAGCCGAAAAAGAGCCCGAAACCCGCAUCGUCCGUCCGAACGCCACACAAACACACACACAGCAUCGCGUAGGUAUUAGACACGCGUUACAACUAACGGAACUCGAUUCCAACAUACGGAGACCGAGUUAUCGCCUAGUUUGCAAAACUGAACAACACUUAGCCAAAAAACCGAAAAAGAGCCCGAAACCCGCAUCGUCCGUCCGAACGCCACGCAAACACACACACAGCACCGCGUAGGUAUUAGACACGCAUUACAACUGACGGUACUCGAUUCCGACAUACGGAGACCGAGUUAUCGCCCUGUUUGCGAAACUGAACAAGACUUAACCAAAAAGUCGAAAAAGAGCCCAAAACCCGCAUCGUCCAUCCGAACGCCACGCAAACACACACACAGUACCGCGUAGGUAUUAGACACGCAUUACAACUGACGGUACUCGAUUCCGACAUACGAAGACCGAGUUAUCGUCCUGUUUGCGAAACUGAACAAGAGUUAGCCAAAAAGCCGAAAAAGAGCCCGAAACUCGCAUCAUCAGUCCGAACGCCACGCAAACACACACAGCACCGUGUAGGUAUUAGGCACGCGUUACAAUUGAUGGGACUCGAUUCCGGCAUACGAAGACCGAGUUAUCGCCCAGUUUGCGAAACUGAACAACACUUGUAGAACACAAACUAAAAUAAUUUAAAUAUGAUCUAUUUUGGGGACUCCGUUAUUAAUAUUUUAAUUUUAUAGGGUCUUGUUGAUGAGACUCGUGGAGGUGGAGAUGGCGGCACAGGUGAUGCUCGUGGAGGAGAUGGUGAUGAUCUCCGAGCUGAUGCUGAUGAGACUAUGGAGGAUGGGACCGGCGAUGGGACCGGAGGCGAUGGGACAGAGAUUCCUGAUCUUGGGCAGUAGUUGUUUAUAUUUAUAUUUUGACUUUCAUGUAUGUAUUUAGCUUUUGAGUUGUACAGAUUUGAGUUUGGUAUCUAAUUAUAUUGAUUGUUGAUAGUAAAAGAUAUGAUUGUUAUUGAUAUGCGUAUAUUGUCAUUAUUUAUUUUUCUUAGUUUAUAACAGGUACAAUGUAUAUGUAAAUGAACAGGGGAAUUUUGCAAUUUUAAUAUAAUUUUUUUAAAGUGGGUCAUUGGCGACGGCCAUGCCGUCGGCAAUGUGUCAUUGGCGACGGCUAGCCGUCGGUAAUGAUCCCGUCGGUAAUGACCAUCUUGCCGACGGCGAGCGACGGGAGGCCGGGGCGACGACCCAUACGGCGACGGGAAGGGCGACGGACAGUGCCGUCGCCAAUGACGUCAUUGCCGAUGGCAAUAGGGUCAUUGGCGACGGCACUUACCGUCGGUAAUGACCUGAUUUUUUGUAGUGUUUGGCAACUAAUUUCAUGAAAGUUUGGCUACUAAUAGCAUCACAUUCAAAAAAAAAAUUGGUAACUUAACAAAACUAAAUUGAUUACCUUAAUACGAAUGUUUGGCUACCAACUACACCAUAAAAAAACUACACCCAAACACCCCCUUAUAAUUCCAUGUUAAACUCAUAUUCUACUUAUAAAAAAAAAACCCCAUAACCUGCAUGAUAGAAACUAUGAAUGACAUAAUGAGGUAGAAGAAAUUAUUUAUGAUGUAGCAGCAGCAGCCUAACCUCACCUGGGACGUUGAUCUUGAAGAUAUGGGCUUGAGGGGUUUCUAGCCAAUCCAAAAGGGCCGGUGAUCCGGGCAGUGCUCGGCGGUAGGUUGGAAUGCUCCAGAACAAGUGUCUGAAAGGGUCUCCAAAGAAUGCCAUCUUUUUUCUCUCUCUCCUCCUAUAAAAUCAAUUUCUGGAAAUGAAGAUGGUAGUAUAUAAAGAUGGGG